rnacentral:rRNA from 1 species
CAUUACCGAGUGCGGGCCCUCGUGGCCCAACCUCCCACCCUUGUCUCUCUACACCUGUUGCUUUGGCGGGCCCACUGGGGCUCCCUGGUCGCCGGGGGACGCCUGUCCCCGGGCCCGCGCCCGCCGAAGCGCUUCGUGAACCCUGAUGAAGAAGGGCUGUCUGAGUACUAUGAAAAUUGUCAAAACUUUCAACAAUGGAUCUCUUGGUUCCGGCAUCGAUGAAGAACGCAGCGAAAUGCGAUAAGUAAUGUGAAUUGCAGAAUUCCGUGAAUCAUCGAAUCUUUGAACGCACAUUGCGCCCCCUGGCAUUCCGGGGGGCAUGCCUGUCCGAGCGUCAUUUCUGCCCUCAAGCACGGCUUGUGUUUGGGUGUGGUCCCCCCGGGGACCUGCCCGAAAGGCAGCGGCGACGUCCGUCUGGUCCUCGAGCGUAUGGGGCUCUGUCACUCGCUCGGGAAGGACCUGGCGGGGGGUUGGUCACCACCACAUUUUCCAUUAUGGUUGACCUCGGAUCAGGUAGGAGUUACCCGCUGAACUUAAGCAUAUCAAUAAGCGGAGGAAAAGAAACCAACCGGGAUUGCCUCAGUAACGGCGAGUGAAGCGGCAAGAGCUCAAAUUUGAAAUCUGGCCCUUUC